rnacentral:rRNA from 1 species
GAUGAACGCUGGCGGCGUGCCUAAUACAUGCAAGUCGAGCGAACAGACGAGGAGCUUGCUCCUCUGACGUUAGCGGCGGACGGGUGAGUAACACGUGGAUAACCUACCUAUAAGACUGGGAUAACUUCGGGAAACCGGAGCUAAUACCGGAUAAUAUAUUGAACCGCAUGGUUCAAUAGUGAAAGACGGUUUUGCUGUCACUUAUAGAUGGAUCCGCGCCGCAUUAGCUAGUUGGUAAGGUAACGGCUUACCAAGGCAACGAUGCGUAGCCGACCUGAGAGGAUGAUCAGCCACACUGGAACUGAGACACGGUCCAGACUCCUACGGGAGGCAGCAGUAGGGAAUCUUCCGCAAUGGGCGAAAGCCUGACGCAGCAACGCCGCGUGAGUGAUGAAGGUCUUCGGAUCGUAAAGCUCUGUUAUUAGGGAAGAACAAAUGUGUAAGUAACUAUGCACGUCUUGACGGUACCUAAUCAGAAAGCCACGGCUAACUACGUG